rnacentral:lncRNA from 1 species
UCCAUUGAUAUUUUAUAAAAUCUUAGCCGUAGAUUUUAAAAAGAUAUUUUAGAAAAAAAAUACCACCACCUCCCAUCCCAUGAAAAGUAUCGAAAUCCAUCUCCCCCAUGGAUUUUCACUUCUCAUGAGAAUAGCUUUUUUCGCUCCCUUUCUUUUUAAAACUCCAGCCAAAUAAGAAGCUUUCUUUUCACUUUUCAAAAACUAACUCUCCUCCCCACUUUCAAAAACUGACUCUCCUCCUCACUUUUCAUCAACCAAAUGAACCGUUAGAAAACAAAUAGGA